rnacentral:misc_RNA from 1 species
GAUGAAGGACGCAGCGAAAUGCGAUACGUAAUGUGAAUUGCAGAAUUCAGUGAAUCAUCGAGUCUUUGAACGCACAUUGCGCCCCCUGGUAUUCCGGGGGGCAUGCCUGUCCGAGCGUCAUUGCUGCCCUCAAGCACGGCUUGUGUGUUGGGCCUCCGUCCUCCUCCCGGGGGACGGGCCCGAAAGGCAGCGGCGGCACCGCGUCCGGUCCUCGAGCGUAUGGGGCUUCGUCACCCGCUCUUGUAGGCCCGGCCGGCGCUUGCCGACACAUCAAUCUUUUUUCCAGGUUGACCUCGGAUCAGGUAGGGAUACCCGCUGAACUUAAGCAUAUCAAUAAGCGGAGGA